UACGUAGGGGGCAAGCGUUGUCCGGAAUCAUUGGGCGUAAAGCGCGUGUAGGCGGCUCGAUAAGUCUGCUGUGAAAGUCCAGGGCUCAACCCUGGGAUGCCGGUGGAUACUGUCGAGCUCGAGUCCGGAAGAGGCGAGUGGAAUUCCUGGUGUAGCGGUGAAAUGCGCAGAUAUCAGGAGGAACACCAAUGGCGAAGGCAGCUCGCUGGGACGGUACUGACGCUGAGACGCGAAAGCUAGGGGAGCGAACGGG
rnacentral:rRNA from 1 species